GGCUUAGAGAGCUUCCACGUGAAGAAGUCACCAUGGCAGUGCUAACUAGCAUUCAUAAACAACCUGAAUGAAUCUAGGGUCAAACCACUUUCAUCACUAAAAAUACAGGCACAUUUUUUUUUUUCCAUGUAACAGUGAGGUUUAAAUAAAGAACUAUAUGCAUUCUUCUGUUAUUUCAAGCUUUGGUGAAAGUGAUAAGAAUGGUAAGUUGUGAUUGUUAUCAGGCUGACUAAUUUCUAAUU
rnacentral:lncRNA from 1 species